rnacentral:rRNA from 1 species
AACGAACGCUGGCGGCAUGCCUAACACAUGCAAGUCGAACGAGACCUUCGGGUCUUGUGGCGCACGGGUGCGUAACGCGUGGGAACCUGCCCUUAGGUUCGGAAUAACUCCCCGACAGGGGUGCUAAUCCCGGAUCAUGUCUUCGGACCAAAGAUAUAUCGCCUUUGGAUGGGCCCGCGUUGGAUUAGCUAGUUGGUAGGGUAAAAGCCUAUCAAGGCGGCGAUCCAUAGCUGGUCUGAGAGGAUGAUCAGCCACACUGGGACUGAGACACGGCCCAGACUCCUAGGGGAGGCAGCAGUGGGGAAUGUUGGACAAUGGGCGAAAGCCUGAUCCAGCAAGGCCGCGUGAGGGAAGAAGGUCUUCGGGUUGUAAACCGCUUUUAUCAGGGAAGAAAAGAUUCGGGCUAAUACGUGGGAAUCAUGACGGUACCUGAAGAAUAAGCACCGGCUAACUACGUG